ACCACGCGCCGCCGCCCUUGGCAACCUCGUGCGCCGCCGUCCCCGGCAACAUUGCGCGCCGCUGCCACUGGCCAACCUCGCGCGCGCCGCACCCAGAAACCCUGGGCGCCAUCGCCCGGCAGAAACCAGGGAGGCUCCACCGCCUACCAGAUCCCUCCGGCGGCGACGACCUCCCCAGAUCCCCUGCCGCCGCCGCGACCUCCCAGACCUCCCCACUGCCUCGCCAUGACCGCACCACGACCUCCCUACCGCCACCGCGGCCGCACCCCGCCUCCAACCGCAUCACCGGCAACCACCAUCCCUCUUCCAACUCGCCUCCAACCACCUCACUCCCCCUGCACCGCCAACAAGGCUUCCCCACCCCCCAUGAUUCUCGGCCGGAUCCGCUACUCCUCCACGGGUCUGGCCAACCGCCCCGCCGGCCAUGGAUCCGCCGCCGGGACCAAUCUCGACGCUGCCUGCCUCCACCAUGCACUGGUGCCCCAUUGAACUCUGACCACAACGACGAAUACCAACGUUGCAGGUCUUCACACUUUGUCCGAGUGUCGCUCUAGAUGAGCAGUGACAACAAAGGGAAACAAAGGUUAAAAAUGGUGCUCACGCUCAUGCACACCUCUCUCUACAAGCUCGUCCCAGCCAACGCAUUUGCUGCUCCUGCGAGACGCUUGCCACUGCUACUUCUGUGUGGUGCAAUGCUCUUUCAAAGUGUUUUGCGUUUGUUGCCCGCUAGGUGUUUGUGAAAAUGUCUACCAGGGAGAUGCUAUGUAAUACAUUUAUGGCUGAAGAUAGAAUAAAAGCACCAUUUUUAGAUUCA